GUGGGGCCCUGCCCUUCUCUUGAGAGGCAGGCGGGCCCUAGCUGCAGCGUCAAGGUCUGGGGAUUCUGUGGCUCUGUAGGGUGAAGGGCACUGGAGACCUACCAGGGGCUGGGCCAUUGGAGUGGUGGGUGCUGGGGAGCUUCCGUGGGCCCCUCCAGGUCCACUCCUUGCUCUUCUCUGCCUUGUUUUGUGCCCAGAAGGCUGACCUGUGUGGAUGCAUUAUCAGGGUGGAUGCAACACAGGGCUGCCAUGCUCUCUGGUAUCAGUUUGGAAGGCACUGGCAGGAUGGGAAGGCAGGCGGGGAGUGAGGUCAGGGGGCCUAUCCUUCCACUGCCUCCCUGCUGCUCCCUGACUGAUUCAGAGCCAGUCUUGGUGCUCUGUGUUCACCUGGUUCAUCUGAGGAGCUGCAUCUACCCUGCCCAUGCCAUAGAUCCUGCCCUGUUUGCUUCUCCUGUUGCUGCUAGUGGACAUGAGAAGGACAGAAUAACGGGCUCCCAGAUUCACAAGCCCCACCAAGAGGAUCACCCCAGGAACGCUUGGAGGCUGAGGAGUUCACUGAGGCUACUGCAUCUUGAGACUCAGGAUGAAGACCCAGCUUGGGGCUGUCAAAGAGGCCUGAAGAGGCAGAACACCCCAGAGGAGCCUGGGGCCACCACCCAGCAUCACUGUGGGAAAACGGCAGCAGGAAAUGUCCUCUCGCCUGCGUGCUCCACCUCGGUCCACGCCUUCCCUCCUUCUGGAAGCCUUGCCUGACCACUGGCCUGCCCCUUCUAUGGGAAUCACUACUGACCUUGCAGCUUAUUAUAGACUUAUAUGUAUGCAGAAAUAUAAUUUUAAUUACUUUUAUAUUGCUCCGAGAGUGAUACCAAAUCAUGAUAGAAAAUUUAAAUAAACAAAAUAGCCAAAUUAAUACCAGUAAUCACCCCAGUCAAAUAUACCCAGCUCACAUUUUGAUGUAAAAUCUUCCAGUACAGUUUCUAUGUACAUAUAUAUAUUUUUAGGAAGGAGAUUAUAUUUUACAUGCUGUUUUCUAGAACGUUCUUUUAAAACUGUAUCAUAAACAUCUUGCCUUAUAAUUCAAUAGUCUUCUACAACAAACUUUGCUAAUGAAUUUUUUUUUUUAUCAUGGUCA
ensembl:lncRNA PVT1 Pvt1 oncogene